CGUACUGUGUACGAUUUUGUACACUGUCUAGUCAGCGAGCUACCUAUAGAUGCAUUAUGACGUCAUACACUUGUAAAAUUAAAGUUUCAUUUUCACUUUUGUUUCUAAGAAGUGAACUGAGAUUUUCAUAAAAUGUAGGACUAUCUUUUGUUUUUUCCUCUCUUUUUCUAUGAUGAUUUUCCUACUGUGAAGCUUAUCUUGUAUAAAGCUCAAUUUCUCUAUGACCACUGAAGUAAACAACCUGAUCAGUGAUGCAUUCUUGUGAAUGUUGAGACCGUGUUCAUUUUUGAAAUCUCCUUUCUGACAGACAUAUUUCACAGAAUCAGCUGAGAUGUUAUUUCACUGGAUUAUUUCAUUGAUAGACUUAUUGGGCAUAUAUUUGGAUAUCUCUGUCAUCAACAUAGAAGAUAUGUAUUGUUCCUAACCAUCUAUAAUCAAUUCUCUAUGAAGUUCAGACUGUCUGCUCUUCCUUUGGAAAUACACAGUUAGUCAACCAACAUAGAAACACACAAACUUGAAGGUAAAGUUUCAA